rnacentral:rRNA from 1 species
UACGUAGGGUGCGAGCGUUGUCCGGAAUUACUGGGCGUAAAGAGCUCGUAGGUGAUUUGUCGCGUUGUUCGUGAAAACUCACAGCUUAACUGUGGGCGUGCGGGCGAUACGGGCAGACUGGAGUACUGCAGGGGAGACUGGAAUUCCUGGUGUAGCGGUGGAAUGCGCAGAUAUCAGGAGGAACACCGGUGGCGAAGGCGGGUCUCUGGGCAGUAACUGACGCUGAGGAGCGAAAGCGUGGGGAGCGAACAGG